CGUGUCAUCAUUGACGUGCAACCACAUAUCUAUCACCUCAUUCCAAGUUGCAUUAUAUAAAGAAGUGCAGAAGAGAGAAACUCCACAAUCUGUUUCCUUUGAAGUAGUUUCAGAGCUUGAAGAAUUUUCAUCGAUAUGGAGAGAAAAACAACACUAGGGUUUAUGCUGCUUCUCCUCAUAAUCUUUGCUUCUGAUGUGGCCGUGAAGAGAACGGAGGCGAGAGAAUGUUCAACGCCGAGCCACAGUUUCAAGGGUGUAUGCAUCAGCGACAAGAACUGUGAAGCCGUGUGUAACACCGAAGGUUUUACCGGCGGCAAGUGUGAAGGUUUCCGUCAGCGAUGCAUGUGUACCAAAAUUUGUUGAAAUUUAUUCGCUUUUCUUUCAAUAAAAACCCAAUAAAUCCAUUUAUCAAUCA